rnacentral:lncRNA from 1 species
UUAACUCAGACCGCUGGCAAACACUUCAGAGAAAAGCUUUCUUUGUUGGAGAUAGACAAUGCCUUUGUUCCAAGGUAGGAAGGAGCAGAUGAAAGUGGCUGCAGUGGAGGGUUGAGAAGGCUCUUCUCUGGUUAUCUUAUCCUUUUGGCUGGGAUGACAAGAAAGAAUCAAACAUCCUGUGUGAGUAGCAGGGAAAAUAAUGGAAACUGAAAACAACAAAAGGUCAUGCAGGCAGCUCUCCCCCAUUCCCUUUUUGUAGCUAAUUAUGCCAUAAACCAUUCAAAAGAGACUGAAGGGAGAAUAUUACAGGCUCAGACAGUUUUCCUAAUAUUUAACAGUAGUUAAAAAUAGACCAAAGCAGUUGUCUGGAGUGCAGCUCUACAGUUACUGCAUUUUGGCAGCAGCAUCUGGUCUGGCUGCAUACAGCAGCAGGCUACUGUAGCAAACACACAGAGCAUAGCAAAUGAGAGCACUAAAUAAAUAUAGAUAAUUAGAAUCAGAGCUGCCAUGCAGGGGCCAUGAGAAGAUUCAUGGGAAGAAGUGAAAGGCUGUCACAAGAUGCAUGUGGUGAGACUUGUGUAAGGAUGCAUCUCUCCCCCCUCUGUGGUGAAGGACGGAGCAGUCAGAGCUGCCACAACCCCAGACUGUCCUAAACCGCACUUGCUGGGCAGACAGCGGGAGGAGAAAUGCCCAUCAGGGAGGAAACGAAGGGGCUCAGCCAGGCGGUGUCACCAGCUGAUGGAACCGGCAGCAGCAGCCCCUGGCCAAGGGCAGGAGCAGGACCAGAGGGAUUCACCCAGGGAAACAGCAGAGAUACAGAAGGGGUUGCAGUUAUUGACCAUCACUGCAAGUCAGAACAAAUGAGGAGACCAGCCAGGGCAACCUUGAAUAGAAGUAAACACAAAGCCUGUGUGGAAGAGAAUGAGACAGGUGAGAAGGCCACAUUUAAACUACUGUCCUUGGCACCAAACACGCCUCUGCUGCUGUUCCCCUGCACAUGGAUGUCCUCAGGGACACCAGGGUUCAGCCCUGCUUGCCCCUGGAUGCGUUCUGGCCAGGGGUGAAGCACCUGGCUAUGGGGCUCCCAGUGCAGUGGGAGUGUGGUCUGACCCCCCUUGCUGCUCACAGAUGCUCGGUGUCUGCAAUAGAUGAAUAAGAGACAGAAGCUGAGGUACCCCUGCUCAGCAUGCUCAGCUCUGCUUGCUGCUUCCUACAACAGCAUACACGUAUGAAAUUAUGUCAGAGCGAGUGCACUGUGAAUUUUGCUGUAUAUAUAUUGCUCCCUGUAGCAGCCAGCUGUCACACCACACACAUGCAAACAGAGAUACGAUUGCUAACCCAUCAGCAGGUUUAUUUAUAAACCCCUCACCAACCACUCUGGCUACACCAUCACCUUCUUCCAGUUUCCUUGGUCUGUGCUGUGCCCACUCCCAUCUCUGCUCCUGCUUGCAGGAUCUGCAUCCUGCUUGCCUGACACCUUCCUUUACCUCCCCAAACACAGAACAGCUGUGCUCUUACAGACACCUUGUCUCCAGCUGAGUCAGCCCAUGCUCCCUCAUGGGUGACAGGAUUUCUGUUUCCCUCUCCAAUGCCACAUUUGUCUCAUUGGACAUCACAAUGACAAAUGCUGGGGGCCAGAGAAGAGCUCCAGCUGGCAGGCCAGAUACCAAAUCCAGGGACAAGGACACAUCCCUGGUAAAUGACAGCCAAAGCAAAGGAGGGCAUGAGCUGAGGAGAUUGCUUGUAAGGGUAAUUUCCUCUGCAGUGCUUGCAUUCAAACUAUGCUAUCAAUGAUUUUAUACCCUGAGCAACCUCCUAUAUAAAAUUCUGAAUUAACUAUAUAUUGAAGGACACAGUCAAGUAUAGGAUUUUACUGCUAAAAAAUACAUUUUCCAUUAAUAGUUAAACACAUUUAAAAGCCACCUUCUAAGUUCUUUUUAAGGGGGAAAAGUCAGUGGCAGUUGAAUUGCUUAAUAGUUUAAAUCCCUGUUCGAGGAUCUAAAGGGAGGUAUCUCACCCCAGCAAUGGCUACAUCCCAUCCCUGCCCCAGCUGAGGAGCUGGAA